rnacentral:rRNA from 1 species
GACGAACGCUGGCGGCGUGCUUAACACAUGCAAGUCGAGCGGUAAGGCCCUUUCGGGGGUACACGAGCGGCGAACGGGUGAGUAACACGUGGGUGACCUGCCCUCAGCUCUGGGAUAAGCCUGGGAAACCGGGUCUAAUACUGGAUAUGACUCCAUGACGCAUGUUGUGGGGUGGAAAGCCUUGUGCGGCUGAGGAUGGGCCCNCGGCCUAUCAGCUUGUUGGUGGGGUGAGGCCUACCAAGGCGACGACGGGUAGCCGGCCUGAGAGGGCGACCGGCCACACUGGGACUGAGACACGGCCCAGACUCCUACGGGAGGCAGCAGUGGGGAAUCUUGCGCAAUGGGCGAAAGCCUGACGCAGCGACGCCGCGUGA